GUGCACCAGGCGCGAAUCCUUCGCAAUGCGGGAAACCGCGACGAGGGGACUCCCAGUGCCUACGCUCAGCGUAGGCUGUUCCCGAGCCUAGAAAGCUCGGGGAGUAAGGGCUGGGUAAGACGGGUGCCAGCCGCCGCGGUAAUACCCGCAGCCCGAGUGGUGGCCACUAUUAUUGGGCCUAAAGCGUCCGUAGCCGGCCCGGUAAAUGCCUGGGUAAAUCGUGAGGCCUAACCUCACGAAUUCCGGGUAGACUGCCGGGCUAGGGACCGGAGGAGGGAGAGGGUACUCCAGGGGUAGGGGUGAAAUCCUGUAAUCCCUGGAGGACCACCGGUGGCGAAGGCGCUCUCCUAGGACGGGUCCGACGGUGAGGGACGAAAGCCAGGGGAGCGAACCGGAUUAGAUACCCCCGUAGU
rnacentral:rRNA from 1 species